UGUAAGGAGAAUGAAUUGAACAUCCUAACCUGGGAACUGGGAGGCUGCCUUAAAGACAUUGUACUUCGAUCCAGGAACAUGGACAAUGUUGCCAAGCAUUUUCCUGGGAAUGAGAGGUACAAAAAUAAAACCUCUACAGCAACAGCUCUCAGGAACUUCACUGUCUAGAAGAAGAGACAAGCAGACACAUAUCCUGUCAAUGUAAUGCAAUACCUCCCUAAUCUCAGAGAAUACACAACAGAGCAGAAAGAACUUACCUAUGUCUACUUUCAAGAUAAAGCCAGGACCCUGAGAUCUCAAUCCAUCCUCCUAAAAUACCACGGAGCCCAUACCAGGAUAGGUCUGAGAAUGCAUACAUUCCCUGAUAGUCUCCAUGUCCCUGGAAAUCUGUUGAUACUUAAAUACCCUCAGUUGGGACAAAUUUAAGAGGAACUAAAAAUAUAAAAUCCUCCCUGGAGGAAAAGGAAGAGUAAAAGACCAAUGGCAAGAAAUAGAUUUCUCCCCAACCAUACCAAGAAUGAAAAAGGGCACCUUGACCUCUUGGUGUGGGCCUGGGAUAAGUGUUCUGAGGUGAUGUCUCAGGCAAGGUCACAGUCCAAGCAGAUGACACACUGUGUGUGGAGGCUGAGAAGAGUUUAAUAAAAGGACACUCAACAAAAAUAUGGGUAGGGAAAUGGCUCAGAAAUAGAGUGCACCGGAGCCAGUGAGAGCAGAGAGCUGAUUACACUGUGAGGCCUUGAGAGACAAGAGGAAGGAAUGGUUACUAGAGCCCAGAGAGAGGUGACUGCAAAGGACCACUCACCACACAGAGG